AAACACUUUUCACUUUACGCGCUCCACAAUUUCUUUUCUCCUUGUUUUCUUCCCUGCUGCUACUGCUUCUCUGUCUUUCUCCAUCAGUAGAUCGCCAGCGUGAUUCAAGUUGCAGUCUCAACCUCACCAGCGUCGCCACCCAUCUGUCUCCGGUUCGGCGGGUUGAUCCAAUUUUAGACAUGGAAGCAGACCAAGGAGACGAUUACACUCACCUUCUUGUAUGGUGAAUGAAAUUAUUCCUUAGUCUCAUGUAAGAGGUUUUCUUAUAUCAUGUUUUUUUUUAAUAUUUUUUUUUUUGCAAAUGUUACCCAU